rnacentral:tRNA from 1 species
UAGCGCGCCCGCCCGGCGGCGCUCGGUCUCCAACACCGAGCGGAGAGGGUUCGACUCCCUCGCGCGCUGG